UACGGGGGGGGCAAGCGUUGUUCGGAAUUGCUGGGCGUAAAGGGCUCGUAGGCGGCCAACUAAGUCAGACGUGAAAUCCCUCGGCUUAACCGGGGAACUGCGUCUGAUACUGGAUGGCUUGAAUCCGGGAGAGGGAUGCGGAAUUCCAGGUGUAGCGGUGAAAUGCGUAGAUAUCUGGAGGAACACCGGUGGCGAAGGCGGCAUCCUGGACCGGCAUUGACGCUGAGGAGCGAAAGCCAGGGGAGCAAACGGG
rnacentral:rRNA from 1 species